AGUUUUAGACUUUUUUAAACUUAAACAAAUUUUCUAUUUCUUGUAUACAUUGAAAUGUAAUGCAUUAUUAUUAUUUAUUUGUUAUGAUCCAAAAUGGCUUAAAGGCAUAUUCUCUCUCCCGUACGCGACGUAUAACAAACAUAUUACUGUUAUCGUCAAUGGAGUUAACGGAGGUAGAUCGGUAGUUAUCGAGUAUUUUCCACUCACUUGACGAUCACAGCGUUGCCAGAUUUUCUGAGUUCACAUUACAUGUCCAUGUAAUUGAAAUAACAUGCCUUCAAUACAAGUGAUAAAUCAAGAAAACGGGACCAAAAGACUAAGGUAUGAAAACGUCGCAAUCUGUAGCCAACGAGGAGAUAACAAGAAUCCCGAAUAUGUGUACAUAUGUUUUCAAUGGAUUGCAUCGUAAUCGCCUAUUCUAGCUUAUAUUUUUGUGAAAUUUGGCCUAUUUUGUCGUUCGAAAUCUGGCACCACUGCCAUAGACACCUCACCCCAGAAAGACGAGUUCCAAUUCUGAAGUAGAACGGGCAAUUCUCAAUUGCAAUAAUCACGAAUUCACGCAUUUCAAUAAGUAAAAAUACAAAAAUGCAAGUCAACUUUAAUUACGAAAAUGUACUUAAAUACCAAAAAUCAGAAUUACAUAGGAUAUGUAUGCUUCAAACUAAUACUAAUAAAAAUUCCCAAGUAGAAAUAAUAAAAAAUUCAAAUUUCCCAGUGCCAAACUGUAUGUAGAUGGUUGCUAAAAUAUAAAUACAAAUAUUUUCUUUUAUUUAAAUUUCCCUAUAACACUCCAGAUAUGAAAAAUGAAUUUCAAUUCCCAAUGCCCUGGUGAAGCAGGGGUAUAAAUAAGGAGACACAAACAGUAAAGUCUUAUACUGCCCGGAUUUUCGAAGUUAUUUGUAUACGAAUUAAACACAGCCUAUAAAGUCUUAUAUUGUACAUGUUUUCGAUGUUAUUUUGUCAUGAACCCCAAUAGAUUUCCUUGAAAAAGUACCAAUAGCUGAAAUAAAGCAAAAGUUCAUAAACUAAUACCAGAAGAAAAUCAAACAAAAACCAA